rnacentral:rRNA from 1 species
GAGUGGACCGCUGAUCGCAUGGUCUUCUGGGAAGCUUUCGCGGUAUGGGAUGGGGUCGCGUCCUAUCAGCUUGACGGCGGGGUAACGGCCCACCGUGGCUUCGACGGGUAGCCGGCCUGAGAGGGCGACCGGCCACAUUGGGACUGAGAUACGGCCCAGACUCCUACGGGAGGCAGCAGUGGGGAAUAUUGCACAAUGGGCGCAAGCCUGAUGCAGCGACGCCGCGUGAGGGAUGGAGGCCUUCGGGUUGUAAACCUCUUUUAUCGGGGAGCAAGCGAGAGUGAGUUUACCCGUUGAAUAAGCACCGGCUAACUACGUGCCAGCAGCCGCGGUAAUACGUAGGGUGCAAGCGUUAUCCGGAAUUAUUGGGCGUAAAGGGCUCGUAGGCGGUUCGUCGCGUCCGGUGUGAAAGUCCAUCGCUUAACGGUGGAUCCGCGCCGGGUACGGGCGGGCUUGAGUGCGGUAGGGGAGACUGGAAUUCCCGGUGUAACGGUGGAAUGUGUAGAUAUCGGAAAAGAACACC